rnacentral:rRNA from 1 species
ACACGCGUAUCGGAAGGACUCUCGGCAACGGAUAUCUCGGCUCUUGCAUCGAUGAAGAACGUAGCGAAAUGCGAUACUUGGUGUGAAUUGCAGAAUCCCGUGAACCAUCGAGUCUUUGAACGCAAGUUGCGCCCGAAGCCAUUUGGCCGAGGGCACGCC